GCCGAAAGCUCAGCCUGGUUAGAGCGCCAGCCUCCACAUCUGGAGGUCGGGGGUUCGAAACCCCCUCCCGGCA
rnacentral:tRNA from 1 species